rnacentral:lncRNA from 10 species
GAUUAGCAUUCCUUCCUGUAAUGCUCUCCUUGCUUCUGCUAUUUCUGCUUCUGAACUUAGAAUAAUAAAACUACCAAAUGGAAGCUGGGCACAUGGUCACCCAACUGGAGACUCCAUUUUUCAUCUUUCCUUGCAGUGUGGGGAUGUGAGGCUGGAAAUGGAAUAAGACAGUAACCCAGCCUCAACCAGAGAUGAAGCCAACACUGUAGGAAUGGUGCAAAAACAAGUUGGAAGUCACAUGGGGUGCCCUGUGGAGCAGAGCCACCCCACUCACCUGACUACAUUCCUCUGGACUAUUAGAUGGGAAAACUGGAGCCCAAAGGAUGGAAAUACUGAACCCAUGGGCUCUGUCACUAGACUGCAUCCCAGGGCCUCAACAUAAUAUAUUCUUAGUGAAAAAGCAGAAUGAUGGCCAGGCGAGUUCUCUGGCUAGGAAGAAGCCCAGCUGGUAUACACCAUUUUUCUGCACUUCCCCUGGGCAGCCAGAUGACUAGGAUUCAAGGACCAGCCUACCACUUUCUAAGCUGUUUGCCUUGGACAAAUGACUUAUUGCCUCUGAACUUCACUUUACUCACCUGUAAAAUGAGGAGACUCCAGAAGAAUGAGAAGAUUCCAUGAGAUGACUCUAGCAGAUCCAUUUCAGAAAAUACUCUGCGUGUGAAGUUAUUACAAGGAACUUGGCAGGCACACUCCCCUUCACCUAUGGGGCUUUUCUUUUUUCUUCCAUGAGAGCUUCUACCCAGAUAUGCAGAUAGAAGAAAUGUAUUGGUCCCAAAGACAACAAUGUCUGUGAAGCAGGAUUCAAAGAGAUGAAGGGAGGGGAGAACAAGCCUUUCAAAUUAUAGCAAGUGGGUGGUCUUCAACUGCUUUUACUUCUUUUUAAAAUUCCAGAUCAUACUGGGGUAACCUAUUAGAAAGAACCCUGUCCUGGAAUCCUGGAAAAGAGGCCCUGCUAGGAGCUGACCUUGGACAAAUCACUCCCUUCUCUGAACCUCACUGUUCAGGGGGCUGAGAACAGAGGGUCCCUAAGGAAGAGUGUUGUAUGAGAACAGUCUCCGCUCUUGACCCAAGCAAACCUGGCUUCAAAUCUCAACUCCUGUGGCUGACUAGCUGUAUGACCUUGACCUUUCUCAGUUUCCUCAUCUAUAAAGCAGGAUUAAUAAAAGGUACCUAUCUAAUAUGACUGUUCUGAGAAUAAAAUGAAAUAAACUACAUAGGUGAUUUGACAUUGUGCUUGGUUUACAGUAGGUGUUUAAUAAAAGGAAAUUGCUAUAUUAUUA